AUGAGGUGUGGAUAGCGGAGAAAUUCCAAUCGAACUCGGAUAUAGCUGGUUCUCUCCGAAAUAGCUUUAGGGCUAGCCUCGUGAAAGAUUACUGGAGGUAAAGCACUGAAUGGGCUAGGGGUCGAAAGAUUACUGAACCCUAUCAAACUAAGAAUGCCAGAUAAUUGAUUCACGGGAGUCAGACAAUGUGAGAUAAGUCUCAUUGUCAAAAGGGAAACAGCCCAGACCCACAGCUAAGGUCCCUAAACAUUGUUAAGUGGAAAAGGAUGUGGGGUUGCAUAAACAACCAGGAUGUUGGCUUAGAAGCAGCCACUCAUUAAAAGAGUGCGUAAUAGCUCACUGGUCGAGUGACCCUGCGCCGAAAAUUCAACGGGGCUAAACAAUGUACCGAAGCUUGGGAUUCUAAAGUAAUUUAGAGUGGUAGGAGAGCGUCGAAUAAGGGGUGAAGUCAGAGCGGAAGCGCUGGUGGACUUUAUUCGAGUGAGAAUGCCGGAAUGAGUAGCGAGAAUUAUGUGAGAAUCAUAAUGGCCGAAAAUCUAAGGUUUCCUGAGGAAGGUUCGUCCGCUCAGGGUAAGCCGGGGGCUAAGGCGAGGCGGAGACGCGUAGCCGAUGCACAUACGGUUGAAAUUCCGUAGCCACCGAAAGAUUUAAGUACAGGGACGCUUUAGAAGUGAUGUAGCCGGGCGAUGGUUGACCCGGUCGUAAGGGAUCGAAAAUGAGUAGAGAAGUCAUCAUGGAAAGAGACAAGAAAAGCUGUAUGAAUAUCUUAGGUGCCCGUACCGCAAACCGACACAGGUAGAUAGGAAGAAGAUUCUAAGGCCAACGGGAGAAGGGUUGUUAAGGAACUCGGCAAGUUGACCCCGUAACUUAGGGAUAAGGGGUGCUCAAGUGAUUGAGCCGCAGAGAAUAGGCCCAGGCGACUGUUUAGCAAAAACACAGGUCUCUGCUAAAUCGAAAGAUGACGUAUAGGGGCUGACACCUGCCCGGUGCCGGAAGGUUAAGAGGAGAUGUGAGAGCAUUGAAUUGAAGCCCCGGUAAACGGCGGCCGUAACUAUAACGGUCCUAAGGUAGCGAAAUUCCUUGUCAGGUAAGUUCUGACCCGCACGAAAGGUGUAACGAUCUGGGCACUGUCUCAACAACCCGCCCGGCGAAAUUGUAGUACCGGUGAAGAUGCCGGUU
rnacentral:rRNA from 1 species